UUAAGCGACUAAGCGUACACGGUGGAUGCCCUGGCAGUCAGAGGCGAUGAAGGACGUGCUAAUCUGCGAUAAGCGUCGGUGAGGUGAUAUGAACCGUUAUAACCGGCGAUUUCCGAAUGGGGAAACCCAGUGUGUUUCGACACACUAUCAUUAACUGAAUCCAUAGGUUAAUGAGGCGAACCGGGGGAACUGAAACAUCUAAGUACCCCGAGGAAAAGAAAUCAACCGAGAUUCCCCCAGUAGCGGCGAGCGAACGGGGAGGAGCCCAGAGCCUGAAUCAGUGUGUGUGUUAGUGGAAGCGUCUGGAAAGGCGCGCGAUACAGGGUGACAGCCCCGUACACAAAAAUGCACAUAUUGUGAGCUCGAUGAGUAGGGCGGGACACGUGGUAUCCUGUCUGAAUAUGGGGGGACCAUCCUCCAAGGCUAAAUACUCCUGACUGACCGAUAGUGAACCAGUACCGUGAGGGAAAGGCGAAAAGAACCCCGGCGAGGGGAGUGAAAAAGAACCUGAAACCGUGUACGUACAAGCAGUGGGAGCCUCUUUAUGGGGUGACUGCGUACCUUUUGUAUAAUGGGUCAGCGACUUAUAUUCUGUAGCAAGGUUAACCGAAUAGGGGAGCCGAAGGGAAACCGAGUCUUAACUGGGCGUUAAGUUGCAGGGUAUAGACCCGAAACCCGGUGAUCUAGCCAUGGGCAGGUUGAAGGUUGGGUAACACUAACUGGAGGACCGAACCGACUAAUGUUGAAAAAUUAGCGGAUGACUUGUGGCUGGGGGGGAAAGGCCAAUCAAACCGGGAGAUAGCUGGUUCUCCCCGAAAGCUAUUUAGGUAGCGCCUCGUGAAUUCAUCUCCGGGGGUAGAGCACUGUUUCGGCAAGGGGGUCAUCCCGACUUACCAACCCGAUGCAAACUGCGAAUACCGGAGAAUGUUAUCACGGGAGACACACGGCGGGUGCUAACGUCCGUCGUGAAGAGGGAAACAACCCAGACCGCCAGCUAAGGUCCCAAAGUCAUGGUUAAGUGGGAAACGAUGUGGGAAGGCCCAGACAGCCAGGAUGUUGGCUUAGAAGCAGCCAUCAUUUAAAGAAAGCGUAAUAGCUCACUGGUCGAGUCGGCCUGCGCGGAAGAUGUAACGGGGCUAAACCAUGCACCGAAGCUGCGGCAGCGACACUAUGUGUUGUUGGGUAGGGGAGCGUUCUGUAAGCCUGUGAAGGUGGCCUGUGAGGGUUGCUGGAGGUAUCAGAAGUGCGAAUGCUGACAUAAGUAACGAUAAAGCGGGUGAAAAGCCCGCUCGCCGGAAGACCAAGGGUUCCUGUCCAACGUUAAUCGGGGCAGGGUGAGUCGACCCCUAAGGCGAGGCCGAAAGGCGUAGUCGAUGGGAAACAGGUUAAUAUUCCUGUACUUGGUGUUACUGCGAAGGGGGGACGGAGAAGGCUAUGUUGGCCGGGCGACGGUUGUCCCGGUUUAAGCGUGUAGGCUGGUUUUCCAGGCAAAUCCGGAAAACCAAGGCUGAGGCGUGAUGACGAGGCACUACGGUGCUGAAGCGACAAAUGCCCUGCUUCCAGGAAAAGCCUCUAAGCAUCAGGUAACAUCAAAUCGUACCCCAAACCGACACAGGUGGUCAGGUAGAGAAUACCAAGGCGCUUGAGAGAACUCGGGUGAAGGAACUAGGCAAAAUGGUGCCGUAACUUCGGGAGAAGGCACGCUGAUAUGUAGGUGAAGCGACUUGCUCGUGGAGCUGAAAUCAGUCGAAGAUACCAGCUGGCUGCAACUGUUUAUUAAAAACACAGCACUGUGCAAACACGAAAGUGGACGUAUACGGUGUGACGCCUGCCCGGUGCCGGAAGGUUAAUUGAUGGGGUUAGCGGUAACGCGAAGCUCUUGAUCGAAGCCCCGGUAAACGGCGGCCGUAACUAUAACGGUCCUAAGGUAGCGAAAUUCCUUGUCGGGUAAGUUCCGACCUGCACGAAUGGCGUAAUGAUGGCCAGGCUGUCUCCACCCGAGACUCAGUGAAAUUGAACUCGCUGUGAAGAUGCAGUGUACCCGCGGCAAGACGGAAAGACCCCGUGAACCUUUACUAUAGCUUGACACUGAACAUUGAGCCUUGAUGUGUAGGAUAGGUGGGAGGCUUUGAAGUGUGGACGCCAGUCUGCAUGGAGCCGACCUUGAAAUACCACCCUUUAAUGUUUGAUGUUCUAACGUUGGCCCGUAAUCCGGGUUGCGGACAGUGUCUGGUGGGUAGUUUGACUGGGGCGGUCUCCUCCUAAAGAGUAACGGAGGAGCACGAAGGUUGGCUAAUCCUGGUCGGACAUCAGGAGGUUAGUGCAAUGGCAUAAGCCAGCUUGACUGCGAGCGUGACGGCGCGAGCAGGUGCGAAAGCAGGUCAUAGUGAUCCGGUGGUUCUGAAUGGAAGGGCCAUCGCUCAACGGAUAAAAGGUACUCCGGGGAUAACAGGCUGAUACCGCCCAAGAGUUCAUAUCGACGGCGGUGUUUGGCACCUCGAUGUCGGCUCAUCACAUCCUGGGGCUGAAGUAGGUCCCAAGGGUAUGGCUGUUCGCCAUUUAAAGUGGUACGCGAGCUGGGUUUAGAACGUCGUGAGACAGUUCGGUCCCUAUCUGCCGUGGGCGCUGGAGAACUGAGGGGGGCUGCUCCUAGUACGAGAGGACCGGAGUGGACGCAUCACUGGUGUUCGGGUUGUCAUGCCAAUGGCACUGCCCGGUAGCUAAAUGCGGAAGAGAUAAGUGCUGAAAGCAUCUAAGCACGAAACUUGCCCCGAGAUGAGUUCUCCCUGAGACUUUGAGACUCCUGAAGGAACGUUGAAGACGACGACGUUGAUAGGCCGGGUGUGUAAGCGCAGCGAUGCGUUGAGCUAACCGGUACUAAUGAACCGUGAGGCUUAACCUU
rnacentral:rRNA from 1 species